UAGAGAGGGAGGCAGGACAGCAGGUGUUUUAUUUUAAGACUGACCAGAUCAUCUCCCCAUCGCUACCAGUUGCGCCUUUUUCACAGUUUUGAUCAUAGAUAUUAAAGAUGGCUGCCAAGGCACAGUCAUGGAGUGUGAGGUAGACAAAGG